rnacentral:rRNA from 1 species
GACGAACGCUGGCGGCGUGCCUAAUACAUGCAAGUCGAACGAGAGCGACCGGUGCUUGCACUGGUCAAUCUAGUGGCGAACGGGUGAGUAACACGUGGGUAACCUGCCCAUCAGAGGGGGAUAACAUUCGGAAACGGAUGCUAAAACCGCAUAGGUCUUCGAACCGCAUGGUUUGAAGAGGAAAAGAGGCGCAAGCUUCUGCUGAUGGAUGGACCCGCGGUGCAUUAGCUAGUUGGUGAGGUAACGGCUCACCAAGGCCGUGAUGCAUAGCCGACCUGAGAGGGUGAUCGGCCACAUUGGGACUGAGAAACGGCCCAAACUCCUACGGGAGGCAGCAGUAGGGAAUCUUCCGCAAUGGACGCAAGUCUGACGGAGCAACGCCGCGUGAGUGAAGAAGGUUUUCGGAUCGUAAAACUCUGUUGUUAGAGAAGAAUAAGUGCUAGAGUAACUGUUAGCGCCUUGACGGUAGCUAACCAGAAAGCCACGGCUAACUACGUG